GGAGUCAAAGCGAGGGAGGGACAUUCUAUAAGUCAAGAAUGCCCGACCCGUAUUAAUGUCUAUAAAAAAUAGACAAACUUUUGGCUCACCCCCUACCUCAAAUAACAUUGUAGUGUUGACAUUACCUCCCUUAAAUGUCUACCUCAGAGUAUAUAGUGACGCAAAAAAGAAUCUCAAUUAAUUAAUGAGUCGAAUAGACCAGGGCAGCCUCCCGCUGUCUACAAUUGUUGUUAUGUAAAUAUUUUUAAAAAAUAUUUUUACUAGUAUGUAUUAGUUAACUUGUACUUUGGGCAAUCCACAUGUGUACAUGUUUUUUUUUUUAUUACAUUGUUUAUGAAUGGUUUAUAAAAUAAAGAAAUGUACAAAGAUU
rnacentral:misc_RNA from 1 species